GGCGGUUCUCAGGUGACGCACCCCAGAAUCGGGCUCCCUCCUCUCUGGUUCUGGGGUGUGUCACCCAAGAACCGCU
rfam:Myotis brandtii contig262491, whole genome shotgun sequence.